rnacentral:rRNA from 1 species
CCUAACACAUGCAAGUCGAACGGUAACAGGAAACAGCUUGCUGUUUCGCUGACGAGUGGCGGACGGGUGAGUAAUGUCUGGGAAACUGCCUGAUGGAGGGGGAUAACUACUGGAAACGGUAGCUAAUACCGCAUAACGUCGCAAGACCAAAGAGGGGGACCCUCGGGCCUCUUGCCAUCGGAUGUGCCCAGAUGGGAUUAGCUUGUUGGUGGGGUAACGGCUCACCAAGGCGACGAUCCCUAGCUGGUCUGAGAGGAUGACCAGCCACACUGGAACUGAGACACGGUCCAGACUCCUACGGGAGGCAGCAGUGGGGAAUAUUGCACAAUGGGCGCAAGCCUGAUGCAGCCAUGCCGCGUGUAUGAAGAAGGCCUUCGGGU